UGGCAACCCCGAGCCAUUUUCCGCUUUCUUUAUUGCCUUCCCUCUCUUUAGCCUUCCUUUUUCCUCUGACUUCUUCGUCUGCUCUAUAGCGUGGUGGACCUGUCAGAGUCCGGAACGACACAUUUCUUUGUUUAAAGUUCUUUUCUCGUCCUCAGAGUUAUAUACUCUUCUGAUUGUGAUUGUCUCCUCUUCCUACACUGUCCAGUCGCCACUUUGGCUCUAAAGAGUAUUCGCCAUUCUCUGGCCCUCCACGUGAUAAUCUGUACAUCAUUCUGAUUUGGGUCUGAUUGUGUCUGUCUGACUCUUGGCAAUCCUUGCGAGUCACUCUCUUCUCAUUUUUGUGUGUGCAAUCCCAGAAGCCACAGGUUGUCUCUGAAUACAAUAUUCAUUCACCCAUCAGCCUACAGUCAGGCCACGAGAAAUUUAAUUCAAGGGUUCCAUCAAGGGAACAUGUUGGUUUGACCCGAGCAACUUUUUUAGCCUUCUUUUACCCCUUUUCUUUCCUCAUAUUCUUUGGUGUUACGAAAUUAAUAAUUUCGGCAACAUGUCUUUUGGAUUUGUCUCAAUUUUUUUAGCCUGAGCUUCCUUUGUGGUGACAUAAUCACUG